rnacentral:siRNA from 1 species
ACUACCAGAGUUGAUGAACCGGCCA